GACCAAUGUCCCGCACAGAUGCCGGGUAUUUGGGAGCCCUGUUCUGGAAGGCAGCAGCACCUUUAGAAAUAGCCAUUUCGACAAGUUCCUCCGUGAUGUCUCCCCAUAGUCCAGGGUCUGAUGAGAUGGUUAAAUCCUCCGGCGGCUGCCGAUCGUCCGUUACAUCUGCAUGGACCACCUCGUCCUCCCGAUCACCCUCGUCCUGACUGCCUCCUUUCACGACAGAAGCCGUGUCUGUCAGAGCUUCAUUAACGUUAGCAUCGUUGCUGGUUGGUUUGCGCAUAAAAAAGUUUCCGAUUGAUGGGACAUUUUGAAUUGCGGCUAAGUGUCGCAAUUCUCUCUUUUUUUAGCUUUCUUUUUGCGAAACCGCUUUGCUGAACCCUGUCCAUUUUUGAAUUUUUUGUUUACAUAUAAUUUCGCGCCACUGCCGCUGCGUUAUUGUGGACUCGUCCAUGAUGGGGGGAGGGGGGCCCUACACCCAAAUAACAGGUUUUUUUUUUAUUAAUAAUCCUAUCAGUGGAUCAUUUUGUAUGUGUUUUUAUCUCUACUAGUAUAUUAUGCCGAUAUAAAAUAUUUAAAAUAUAACAAAAAUAGGUUAAGGCUUUAGUCAUUGUCCUGAUCAUUUGGUGCGGCACCAAAAUUGGCUCAAUUUGGCUGGUGCCCCAGGGCACUCGCCCGACUGUAUAUAUGGAUAAUCCGGCCUUGCCGGUGGGAACCUCAGGGCUGGGACCUCUGGUUGAUUGAUUGAUUGAUUUUUUUUUUUUAAUAAUAAUUUCAUUAUUUUCUUGCACAAAACAAUCACAGACAACAUAUACAUACACCACAAGACAACAAACUCACAGGACAAUACAAAAUACAACACAGAGGGGGGUUGGGGGGUGCAGAUCCAUACUUCUAAAUAAAUUCAUUUAAAUGUCCAGUUUCUUAAAAGUGACAUAUUAUGCUAUUUUCACAGCAAGUAAACAUAGCAUUUGAGGUUCCAAAAACGUGUUUUUGAAGCUGUUUGCUUGAAAUAACUUUUAGGAAAAAAAAUCUCGCCUACCGCUAUUCCCUCUGGUUCAGUCCCUUUCAGAAUGCGCUGUUUCAGGGGGUGUAGCUUCAAUGCAAAUGAGGCACCCUGCUCAGUGCAUUUGGACACGCCCUUCUAACAAACUGAUACCAUGGUUACGGAGAGAGUGCAGCGUAGCAUGUGAAAGUAGCGGACAUGGCAGCUUCAGUGGUUCAACCCUAUAUGUUCGAACCUGAAUCGGAUCCUGAAGAAGGAGAGGAGGCUCCUGCAGAACCCCAGACUCCGAGAAUUCAGCAGGAUGCUUCUGAAUGGUGCACAUGUGGAAAUUGUGCCACAAUGCAGUCAGAGCCGGAGAACUUAUGCUGUCAGGAGGUGCCUCAGGUUACAAGACGGCUGGAACAGCUGGAUGAAAGGCCUCCCUGCAUGAUGACCAUCCAGGUUUAGAACCGGUUUGUCUGAAU